rnacentral:tRNA from 1 species
GAUUGGGUAUACAAUUAGACUUAAAUUUUAAUUAACCGAUUUUUCGGUCCAAUUA